rnacentral:tRNA from 1 species
GGCCGCGUGGCCUAAUGGAUAAGGCACCAGACUUCGGAUUAAAAGGGAAUUGUAGGUUCGAGUCCUGCCGUGGUCG